GAUGGAGAUGUAUGAAUUGAAGAUCCCGUAUGGAGAAAUCAAAGGGCAUGUUAAUGAAUUGAAGUUGGACUAGGAGAGUUGAAGCAUCUUCUAGGGAAGAAUAACAAGGCUGCUGUGGCUAAGAAAAAUAAGGCUGCUAGGGGUGGAUGCAACAUGGCUGCCAUUACUGCUGUUGUGAUCUUGAUUGUAGGUGUCAUGCUUGGAAUCUUUGCCUCACGAGUAGCUAAUGCUAAGUGAAGUAAUGGAUAGUGUAGUAGUGCUAUUUGUCAAUGAAUCUUGGUUCUAUUUCUGUUGUGUGGAAUUUGUCAUUUGGUUAUGUUGAGUUGUGAUUUAUGAACUUCAUAUGUAAUGUGACAUGUCUCAUCUGUUGUGUGGGAUCUAACAUUUGAUUGUGGUUAUGUUGAGUUGUAACAUGACUUAUCUGUUAGUUUAUAUAUGACAUUUAUUUUUGUGAGCUAUGGUUUAUAUUUUUGUGAGCUUCUUUCCUGCCAUAGUCACAUUCAGGAAUAUAGUGAGGCACUAUGCCAAGUGUUCUGUUGAGGAUGUCCAUGGGACAUUCAUGCAUCAAGGAUUGUACACAUUUCUAUAGGCGGGCCACG
rnacentral:lncRNA from 1 species